rnacentral:rRNA from 1 species
UUCGGGGGUAAACGGACAGAGCCCGUGAAUCCGGGCGACGGAAUUCAGAAUCGACGGCGUUCGCGCGUCGUCGGUUCGAUAUUUCCGCCGCCGCGGACGUCGCGACCCGUUCGGUGUCGGUCUCAGGAGACGUGCGAAAGUUCGUGUGCGUCGCUGGGUUUCGGCUCGGUCGGCGUUCGCGAGUGCGCGUUCUAUUUUCUGGCCGACUCGCCGGACGGUAAAAGCGGUGGACGCGGCGGCCUUGCGCUAGUUAGCGCCGUCGCGUUACCGGUCUGCGACGAAUCUUCGGGCCUCUUUCCGACCCGUCUUGAAACACGGACCAAGGAGUCUAACGUGCGCGCGAGUCGCGGGGUGUCGAGCGGUUGGCGGCGUUCGCUCGCGCGGGCGUCGUCGGCCGUUCGUUACAAUACGAAACCCGUCUCGUUUUACGAAAGGCGCAAUGAAAGUGAAUUUGAGGGGAAGAUGACGUUACCGAGUUCACGUUCCGCGCGCUCAGCGCGCGGCCGGUCGUCCGCAUUCCCAGGGCGUCCCAAUGGCCCGGCGGCGUUGCGGACUGUCGUUCCUUCGGGGGCGGCGGUCGGGCGUCGUCGAACCGGGGCGCACCUAUAGCGUGCACGUUGGUACCCGAAAGAUGGUGAACUAUGCCCGGCCAGGAUGAAGUCAGGGGAAACCCUGAUGGAGGUCCGCAGCGAUUCUGACGUGCAAAUCGAUCGUCUGAGCUGGGUAUAGGGGCGAAAGACUAAUCGAACCAUCUAGUAGCUGGUUUCCCCCUCCGAAA